UGGGGAAUAUUGGACAAUGGGCGAAAGCCUGAUCCAGCAAUGCCGCGUGAGUGAUGAAGGCCUUAGGGUUGUAAAGCUCUUUUACCCGGGAAGAUAAUGACUGUACCGGGAGAAUAAGCCCCGGCUAACUCCGUGCCAGCAGCCGCGGUAAUACGGAGGGGGCUAGCGUUGUUCGGAAUUACUGGGCGUAAAGCGCACGUAGGCGGCUUUGUAAGUUAGAGGUGAAAGCCUGGAGCUCAACUCCAGAAUUGCCUUUAAGACUGCAUCGCUUGAAUCAUGGAGAGGCGGGUGGAAUUCCGAGUGUAGAGGUGAAAUUCGUAGAUAUUCGGAAGAACACCAGUGGCGAAGGCGGCCCGCUGGACAUGUAUUGACGCUGAGGUGCGAAAGCGUGGGGAGCAAACA
rnacentral:rRNA from 1 species